CUGCAUCUAUCUGUUGCUCUUCACAGAAUGCAAUUCAAGCUAGCAGAGACAAUACAACUGAUCAAAUUGAAGCUACACAACAAUGGAGCUAAAGAUCGUCAUCCAGCUUUAUCCCAGGUGCCAGAAAUGCCGAUCCAAAGCCCUUUCUAUUGCUGCUGAGGCAAAUGGUGUGAGCAGAGUGGAAAUUGAGCGGGAUAAAGUGGUGGUGAUCGGAGAGGACAUAGAUGCCGCCGGGUUGACCAGCUUAAUCAGAAAGAAGAUCGGCAAUGCCAGUCUAGAGUUUGUUCAGGCUGCGUAAAGUUCAGAAGCGGCACAUUAGUUGAAUUGCAU